rnacentral:rRNA from 1 species
UUCGCAAUGCCCGAAAGGGUGACGAAGCGACGCCGCGUGCGGGAAGAGGGCCUUCGGGUUGUAAACCGCUGUCGGGAGUUAAGAAAUGUAAGGAUGUUAAUAGCAUCUUUGCUUGACUAAGGCUCCGGAGGAAGCCACGGCUAACUCUGUGCCAGCAGCCGCGGUAAUACAGAGGCGGCAAGCGUUGUUCGGAAUUAUUGGGCGUAAAGAGCACGUAGGCGGCCUUGUAAGUCAGUUGUGAAAGCCUUCUGCUUAACGGAAGAACAGCAGCUGAUACUGCAAGGCUAGAGUGCGGAAGGGGAGAGUGGAACUUCUGGAGGAGCGGUGAAAUGCGUAGAUAUCAGAAGGAACACCGGCGGCGAAGGCGACUCUCUGGUCCGUAUCUGACGCUGAGUGUGCGAAAGCUAGGGGAGCAAACGGGAUUAGAUACCCCGGUAGUCCUAGCCGUAAAC